CUCGUUGGUGAACCAGCGGAGGGAUCAUUG
rnacentral:rRNA from 1 species